UGGGGAAUUUUGGACAAUGGGCGAAAGCCUGAUCCAGCAAUGCCGCGUGUGUGAAGAAGGCCUUCGGGUUGUAAAGCACUUUUGUCCGGAAAGAAAUCCUUGGCUCUAAUACAGUCGAGGGAUGACGGUACCGGAAGAAUAAGCACCGGCUAACUACGUGCCAGCAGCCGCGGUAAUACGUAGGGUGCAAGCGUUAAUCGGAAUUACUGGGCGUAAAGCGUGCGCAGGCGGUUUGCUAAGACCGAUGUGAAAUCCCCGGGCUCAACCUGGGAACUGCAUUGGUGACUGGCAGGCUAGAGUAUGGCAGAGGGGGGUAGAAUUCCACGUGUAGCAGUGAAAUGCGUAGAGAUGUGGAGGAAUACCGAUGGCGAAGGCAGCCCCCUAGGCCAAUACUGACGCUCAUGCACGAAAGCGUGGGGAGCAAACAGGAUUAGAUACCCCUGGUAGUCCACGCCCCUAAANGAUGUCAACUAGUUGUUGGGGAUUCAUUUCCUAGUAACGUAGCUAACGCGUG
rnacentral:rRNA from 1 species